rnacentral:misc_RNA from 1 species
GAUGAAGAACGUAGCGAAAUGCGAUACGUAAUGUGAAUUGCAGAAUUCAGUGAAUCAUCGAAUCUUUGAACGCAUAUUGCGCUCUCUGGUAUUCCGGAGAGCAUGCUUGUUUGAGUAUCAGUAAACACCUCAACUUCCAUAUCUUUUUUGAAAUGGGAGUUGGACUUGAGUGAUCCCAACGCUUUUCCUCACCGAAAAGUGGCGGGUUACUUGAAAUGCAGGUGCAGCUGGACUUUUCUCUGAGCUAUAAGCAUAUCUAUUUAGUCUGCCUAAAAAACAGAUUAUUACCUUUGCUGCAGCUAACAUAAAGGAGAUUAGUUCUUGUGCUGACUGAUGCAGGAUUCACAAAGACGGCUUCGGCCGACUUUGUAAACUCGAUCUCAGAUCAAGUAAGACUACCCGCUGAACUUAAGCAUAUCAAUAAGCGGAGGA